rnacentral:rRNA from 1 species
CACGUAGGGUGCGAGCGUUGUCCGGAAUUAUUGGGCGUAAAGCGUCUGUAGGUGGCUUUUUAAGUCUGGCCGUCAAAUCCCAGGGCUUAACCCUGGACAGGCGGUGGAAACUACCAAGCUGGAGUACGGUGAGGGGCAGAGGGGAAAUUUCCGGUGGAGCGGUGAAAUGCAUUGAGAUCGGAAAGAACACCAACGGCGAAAG